rnacentral:rRNA from 1 species
GGAUCCAGACUUUGAUUCUGGCUCAGGAUGAACGCUAGCUACAGGCUUAACACAUGCAAGUCGAGGGGCAGCGGUAUCGAAAGCUUGCUUUCGGUAGCCGGCGACCGGCGCACGGGUGAGUAACGCGUAUCGAACCUGCCUCAUACUCGGGAAUAGCCUUGCGAAAGUAAGAUUAAUGCCCGGUGUUUUCAGAGUCCCGCAUGAGGCUUUGAACAAAGAUUUAUCGGUAUGAGAUGGCGAUGCGUCCCAUUAGCUUGUUGGCGGGGUAACGGCCCACCAAGGCAUCGAUGGGUAGGGGUUCUGAGAGGAAGGUCCCCCACAUUGGAACUGAGACACGGUCCAAACUCCUACGGGAGGCAGCAGUGAGGAAUAUUGGUCAAUGGGCGGAAGCCUGAACCAGCCAAGUAGCGUGCAGGAAGACGGCCCUCCGGGUUGUAAACUGCUUUUAGUUGGGAAUAAAACGGGGCUCGUGAGCCCCCUUGCAUGUACCAUCAGAAAAAGGACCGGCUAAUUCCGUGCCAGCAGCCGCGGUAAUACGGAAGGUCCGGGCGUUAUCCGGAUUUAUUGGGUUUAAAGGGAGCGCAGGCGGACCUUUAAGUCAGCUGUGAAAUACGGCGGCUCAACCGUCGAACUGCAGUUGAUACUGGAGGUCUUGAGUGCACACAGGGAUGCUGGAAUUCAUGGUGUAGCGGUGAAAUGCUCAGAUAUCAUGAAGAACUCCGAUCGCGAAGGCAGGCAUCCGGGGUGCAACUGACGCUGAGGCUCGAAAGUGCGGGUAUCAAACAGGAUUAGAUACCCUGGUAGUCCGCACAGUAAACGAUGAAUACUCGCGGUUUGCGAUACAUUGUAAGCCGCCAAGCGAAAGCGUUAAGUAUUCCACCUGGGGAGUACGCCGGCAACGGUGCAACUCAAAUGAAUUGACGG